GUGGCUUGCUACUUCGAUGUCGUCUCUUCCUAUCCUGGGUCUGCAGCAGGACCCAAGGGUGGGGUUGUUCGCCCAUUAAAAGGGAUCGUGAGAUGGGUUUAGACCGUCGUGAGACAGGUUUGUUGCUUGGUGGUUGAAGUGCAUAAGAUGCCUGAUGGAAGAGGCCCUUUAGUACGAGAGGAACGAGGGCUUGGGGCCACUAGUUUACCAGUUGUCUGACAAGGCAAUGCUGGGUAGCCACGCCCUAGAGGAUAAGAGCUGAAAGCAUCUAAGCUCGAAGCCUUCCCAAAAACGAGGCAUCUCAGAACGCUCGUAAAAGACGAGUUUGAUAGACCGCGGAUGUAAGU
rnacentral:rRNA from 1 species